rnacentral:rRNA from 1 species
AACGGCGUCGAGCGGCGGACGGGUGAGUAAUGCCUAGGAAAUUGCCCUGAUGUGGGGGAUAACCAUUGGAAACGAUGGCUAAUACCGCAUGAUGCCUACGGGCCAAAGAGGGGGACCUUCGGGCCUCUCGCGUCAGGAUAUGCCUAGGUGGGAUUAGCUAGUUGGUGAGGUAAGGGCUCACCAAGGCGACGAUCCCUAGCUGGUCUGAGAGGAUGAUCAGCCACACUGGAACUGAGACACGGUCCAGACUCCUACGGGAGGCAGCAGUGGGGAAUAUUGCACAAUGGGCGCAAGCCUGAUGCAGCCAUGCCGCGUGUGUGAAGAAGGCCUUCGGGUUGUAAAGCACUUUCAGUCGUGAGGAAGGUAGUGUAGUUAAUAG